rnacentral:lncRNA from 1 species
AUGGGUAUGAAUAUCCAAAAUAUUAUUCGAACUGGAAUCCAAACGGGGCGGAUUUAUUCGAGCUAAACGGGUAUGGAUUCGGUUAUGGGUAUACCAAAUAAAAAUCCGACGGAUAUGAAUACAAGUAUGGAUUUUUUAUUUACCCAAUCCGAACCCGAACCCAACCCGAGCCCGAACUCGAAUAAAUUAUAUAUAUACAUAAUUUAUUUUUAUUUAUUUAUAUAAUAUAUAAAAUAUUUAAUUAUUUUUAUUUCUUAGAUCUUCAUUUAACGGUAUGAAUUUUUAAAACCCGCCAAGUUCGGGUCCGAAUACAGGUUUUAAUUUGGUUUUCGGCUUCGGAUUCGAGUUAUUAAAAAUCUAACCCGAACCCGACCUAUUGACAUCCCUAUCAGAAUUACAAGUUUAAAACUUAAUUACUUCAUAUUUUUCUAACGAAAACAAACAGACCAGAUAACUUGUUAUAUUUUUUUCAGAAAAAGAGAUAAAAACGCAUAGGACUUGUUAAACUACUGACCAUUUUGCUUUACCUAUCCAAUCUUCGAAAAUUUUAAUUAUGUUACUCAAUAUUUUAAUUUGUUUGAUUUGAGUCGGUCGAUAACACUUUCAUUUUAAAAUUUAAAUACAUUGUUUACUUUUACAGGUUUCGUUAGUAUAUAUACAU